UGUGCGAUAAGGAAUCAAUUUAUAGGCAGUUUUUUGCAUAAGUCUAUUUUGUAUUAAAAUUCACAGCCUGAUUGAAAAUAUAGUAUUCAAUGAGCUUUUUUUCCUAUUUUUAACUUUUGGUAAGAAACAAUUGGUUGAAAUAUAUUGAUUUAAAAAUAAGAAUUAAAUGUACAAUUCUGCCUUUCGGAAAUGGUAUAAUUUAUAACUAAAAUUGCUCCUCCCGCCUAAAGAUAGGCCCCUCUCCCAUAGUAAAAAAUUGUUGUAUUGAACUCCUCUACAAAAACCGGUUAUUAAAUCCGUGCACCCAAGUUAUCCUACUAUGUGCCAAAAUAACAUUUUUGUUCGGUGCCUAAACGUUCGAAUUUCUGCAUCCGGGAUUAAAUUAAAUCAUAAAAAAUACCUCUUUUGAUUUGGAAAUAAGUAUUAUUUUAAAAUAUAUUUUUAAAAAAGCAUGUUGUUUUGAAAACAUUGAUGUCAAAGUUGGUUAAAUGACGAAAAAAAAUGGAAUUUUUGAACUUUGUCAGCUUAUAAAUUCUAGGUGGUUUAUUCAAACUAGGCUGCAAUAAGUCGAUCGAUCAUCAACCCUCAGAUUGUUCGUGUCAAGGCGCACCACGCACGGCUACGGGCACUACAUCAGUAUCAGUAACUAUACAACAAGAAAGGACUCUUGCGAUCACGAAGUACCAUCGUGAGCCAUUAAAGAUGCUCAAUUUAAUGGUAAUAAUUGGGAAAAAAGACAUUCUCACAAUGCAAAUGAUGUUUUCGAGAGCGAUUUUAUAUUCGGUUGUAAAUGGGAUUAAAUUUUUGUGUUGGAUUCAACUACUCCACCCAAAUCAAAGGAAACGUGCUCUUGUUUGAACAAUCUGCUAAACAGGAGGAUUAUGUCAUCAAAUUUGACAUCAUCUCAGACUUACCAGCUUCUAGGUAUAUUGUAUUGUGAUAUCAGCAAUCUAUUACUAUAAGGUCGAGUUUUCAAAAACAAAAUGUAUUCUACGUAUAAGAAACUACAUUGAUAUAAAUUGACUAAAAAAAGGGUUAAGAAUAGAAUAGUCUAUUUUUUCAAUGUCGAAAUUUAUAAAAAUUGUUUGAAACAAUGGGAAAAACUGAAAUAAUUGUUGCAUUUCAAUAUGAAAAUAUAUAAUUUGAGCUUUAGUUUUCAGUGCAAUCAAUGUUAACAGCCUUUGAUACUGCGACCAAUGAUAAUAAUUUUUGCACU